GAUCAUGGCUCAGAUUGAACGCUGGCGGCAUGCCUUACACAUGCAAGUCGAACGGCAGCGGACCUUCGGGUGCCGGCGAGUGGCGAACGGGUGAGUAAUGCAUCGGAACGUGCCAUUGAGUGGGGAUAACGUAGCGAAAGUUGCGCUAAUACCGCAUAUUCUGUGAGCAGGAAAGCAGGGGACCGCAAGGCCUUGCGCUCUUUGAGCGGCCGAUGUCAGAUUAGCUAGUUGGUGAGGUAACGGCUUACCAAGGCGACGAUCUGUAGCGGGUCUGAGAGGAUGAUCCGCCACACUGGAACUGAGACACGGUCCAGACUCCUACGGGAGGCAGCAGUGGGGAAUUUUGGACAAUGGGGGCAACCCUGAUCCAGCCAUGCCGCGUGAGUGAAGAAGGCCUUCGGGUUGUAAGGCUCUUUCGGCCGGGAAGAAAUCGCAUGGGUUAAUACCCUGUGUGGAUGACGGUACCGGCAUAAGAAGCACCGGCUAACUACGUG
rnacentral:rRNA from 1 species